UCUGAGUUCAAACCUGUCGCACCUGAAAGAACUGGAUCUGACCUACAAUCACCCAGGAGAGUCAGGCGUGAAGGUGCUCUCAGCUAGACUGGAGGAUCCACAAUGCACACUACGAACUCUCAGCCCCGGAUGUGCACCUCUAACUGAUUCACCUUCUCCACCAGAGUAGAAGUUAACUGGCACUUCUCACAAACUGAACGACUGUUAUCACUAGUGCUGGAGAGAGGAUUAUCACUAUACAUGCCACAAUCCACACAAGUAAAGACAGCCAUAGUAGAAGAUAGAGAUUGGAACAUGGAGAUGAAAACAGAAUGAAACCAGGACUGAAGAAAUAUUCCUGUGACUUCACUCUGGAUCCAAACACAGUGAACAGAUUUCUCUCUCUGACUGACGGGAACAGGAAGGUGGAGUAUAAGUGGGUUGAUCACUCAUAUCCUGAUCAUCCAGAGAGAUUUGAUUGGUGUUGUCAGGUUCUGUGUAGAGAGAAUCUGACUGGACGCUGUUACUGGGAGGCCGAGUGGAGCGGAGAUGUUGAAAUAGCAGUAACAUAUAAAUCAAUCAGGAGGAAAGGAGACAGUCCAGACUGUCUGUUUGGACUGAAUGAAAAGUCCUGGAGUCUGUACUGCUCUAAUAAAAGUUACUCUGUCCGUCACAAUAAUAACAUCACUAAACUCUCUGGUCGGCCGUCCAGUAAGAGAGUAGGAGUGUAUGUGGACUGUCCGGCCGGCUCUCUGUCCUUCUACAGCGUCUCUGAUGAUCAAAGACUGACGCACCUUCACACGUUCAACACCACAUUCCCUGAACCGCUCUGCGCUGGGUUUUUUAUUGAUUACGGCUCCUCAGUGUGUUUAAAAUAAAAUCUCCUCCUGAGUGAAACACAAACCAUAAAAACAUCAUAUUUGUGUGGUUUUAUGUGUAAAACAGUGUAAAGAUUCAUUUUUAUGUCAUGUUUGAAAUACCAGGACACUUUAAAUCAUAAUCUGGUGGCCUCUGCCUGAAAGCUGAAGAUGGGUCAUCACUGGGUCUUUCAGCAAGAUAAUGACCCUAAACAUGUGGCCAAAUCUACACAAACAUGGUUCACCAGACACAAAAUCAAGCUCCUCCCAAGGCCAUCUCAGUCCCCAGACUUCAACCCAAUUGAAAACCUGUGGGGCGAGCUGAAGAGGAGGGUGCAUAGGAGAGGACCCAGGACUCUGGUAGAUUUAGUUUUAAAGUGUGGUAGAAGAUUAAGCGCUGUCUUGUUGGCAAAAGGGGGUUGUACAAAGUAUUAACAUCAGGGGUGCCAAUAAUUGUGGCACAGAUGAUUUCAUGUAAAAGAAAUUU